GAGGGUAUAGCUUAAGACGUAGAGUGCAUGUUUAGUGUGCAUGAGGUCCUGGGUUCAAUCCCCAGUAUCUCCU
rfam:Camelus ferus unplaced genomic scaffold scaffold2519, whole genome shotgun sequence.